AUAUAAGAUUAUAUUUUUUCCCUCGCAUUUUGUUUGCGCAUUGAAUUGUAAAUAUCGUGUUUAAAUUGUUGUUUAUUUGUGAUUUUUAAUAUAUUAAGUAAUAAACUCUAUCGCUUUAUAUUGCGGUACGCCUAAUAAUCUAAUGAAUAUCAUUUGAACUUGCAGAUAUAUUAUGAAAUGCCAAGAUUGUCGCUUUUGUUUUCGCCUUACUGUUUGUUUAUUUCCCCUUCAUCUUUACUUGAAUAUGUCAUUAACAAAGAGACUGCGAUUUCUUGGCUUCAAUCAUUAUUCCUGGUUAGCAUUUAAUCACAUUAACUAGGAUUGAGGAUGAUUUACACUAAAAGAUUUGGGCGCUAAUUUUAGACAGGCCUAAAGUUUCAAUUGUUGCCCAACCUGUCACUUCGUUGGUUGAAAAUUUGGAAAUUUGAAAGCCUUCCAACCACGGGAAACCACUAAAUAAAAUCAAGUCAAAUGUUACAAUUAAGGAGGCCUAUGGAUCAUCUGAUCAACAUCAUUAUUAUAAUCGGUGGAAGUACUCAAAAGUUUCCUGGCCUUAUCUAAUGGUACCACUUGAACCUGUGAUUUACCUAUGGAAAGUUAAAUAAUCAAGUCAACUAUAUCUAAACAUUCAAAAAAACCAUUCAACAUGCAACAAUCAAAUUACUGCAACAUUUUGCAAUUCCUAGUUGAAAAGGUUCAUUUUUGUAGCUUCAAUCGUCAGUCAAUCUCAAUUUAACGUGUUAGACAGUUUAACCAUAAAUGAAUAUGUUUAAUCAAUCAGUCUCCUAAUUAGAGUAAUGAACAUUAA